AUACGUAGGGUGCGAGCGUUGUCCGGAAUUACUGGGCGUAAAGAGCUCGUAGGUGGUUUGUCGCGUCGUCUGUGAAAUUCCGGGGCUUAACUCCGGGCGUGCAGGCGAUACGGGCAUAACUUGAGUACUGUAGGGGAGACUGGAAUUCCUGGUGUAGCGGUGAAAUGCGCAGAUAUCAGGAGGAACACCGGUGGCGAAGGCGGGUCCCUGGGCAGUAACUGACGCUGAGGAGAGAAAGCAUGGGUAGCGAACAGGAUUAGAUCCCCUGGUAGUCCAUGCCGUAAACGGUGGGCGCUAGGUGUAGGGGUCUUCCACGACUUCUGUGCCGUAGCUAACGCAUUAAGCGCCCCGCCUGGGGAGUACGGCCGCAAGGCUAAAACUUAAAGGAAUUGACGGGG
rnacentral:rRNA from 1 species